rnacentral:lncRNA from 1 species
AUCAAAGAUAUCACCAAAAUUGAUAAGUAAGAUAGCGUACAAGUUGUGAUAGACAUAGUGAGUGACAAAAUGGUAACUGAGUUCCCAAUUAUGAUGAAGAAUAGGCGAGCUAGUCUUGUUGUCCGUGGAGUAAAAAGAAGGCCAAAAUCAGGGACAUAUGGUGAAGAAAAUGCCUUGACCAUUCUAAAAAGAGUGAAUGAAAGGUAAAUUUUCACUCUCAAAAUGUCUUACUUGGUUGAAGAUAAAUUUUGUGUUUGGAUUUGUAAAGGCUUUAUAUCCUAUUUUAUCUUUGUAAUUUUAAGACAAAUAUAGUGUUAUGCAUCGUUUUUUUUUCAUGAUCUGGGUGUGUAUGUGCUAACAUAACUCUUGCAUGACUGACCUUGUGUAUGCCAUUCGGUAUGCAUAUUGACUUUAUUGAAAAACUAACCUUUUGCCAAAUUAUGGAAAAAAAAGGGGAAUAAUGAGAUAAAGUGGUGUAUCUAUUGUGUCCAAAUAAAUGUGAUGAUUGUUUAUUACUGCCCAAAAUGGGAAAAGUGCUAAUGUUGUGCUCCUUGCUAGAGCAUCGGGAAGGACAUCUGGUUCUGGUCCUUGUAUUUGUGAAAACAUAUCUGUAUGUGUUAGUAGUAAUCAUUGAUAUAAAUUACUAUCUAAUUUUGUAUGCAUGACAAACAUGUGAAUGAUUGGAUACUGAUAUAUGUUAGUUAGUAGGAUUGUAUACUACUAGCUAUGUGAUACUAGAUUCAUGCAUGACUAAGUCUGUGAAUGAUUGAAUGAAUAUCUAUUUGGUUUAGAAAAACUGAAUGGACUAUGUGUAAGCAUCAAAAUGUUAAUGAUAUGUCUUCUGCUAUUGCUGGUGCUUAACUCUAAUACAUGGAAGUUGUUUCUAAUAAAAUGCUCUGAAGAUCCAGCACAUCUACUGGAUGUCACUUGUUUCUCAUGGAAGAAAUGAUAUUUAUCUUGAAGAGUUGUAUUUCCAUAAUUUAUCAAAGGGGGAGAUUGUUGUUCCUAUUGCAUUGCCCAUUUGGAUUGACUGCAUUUUAGCAAAACAACAACUUGGAGAAUUCUCAAAGUAAUCAAGAUUGGUAUAGCUUGCUAAAGCUAUAUGAAGUAGCAGAUAAGACUCAUGUUGGGCACGAUGCUGCAGCAUGUUGGUAUGACAUUUGGGACUUUUGCAACAGACGUCGGAAUGCUUCAUUUUGGAGUAUGUUAUGCAUAAUAUUUGUUAAAGAUUUUAUUAUUAUUGAUUUAACAAUAUGAU